rnacentral:rRNA from 1 species
UACAGAGGGUGCAAGCGUUAAUCGGAAUUAUUGGGCGUAAAGCGCACGUAGGUGGGCGAAUAAGUUGGAUGUGAAAGCCCCGGGCUCAACCUGGGAAUUGCAUACAAUACUGUUCGUCUAGAGUAUGGGAGAGGGAAGUGGAAUUUCUGGUGUAGCGGUGAAAUGCGUAGAUAUCAGAAGGAACAUCAGUGGCGAAGGCGACUUCCUGGCCUAAUACUGACACUAAGGUGCGAAAGCGUGGGGAGCAAACAGG